ACUGAGAGCUCUAUAGCUCAAAAUUUAAUCCCUGUACUUUUUUAGAUCUACCCCGUGGAGUGGCAUUCUUGUGAAAAUUAUGUAAAUGUAUUUAUCAGAAUAAUGGAGGAGUGUAGGAGGCGGCGGGUGAGGUGCAGAAGAAGAAGAAGAAGAAGUUGUACCUAUCCAGUAAUUUUAUCUUGAUCUGUGGACUAGACAGACUAGAUUCUGAUGAAGAAAUCGACAAACUUGAACUGCAGGACUCGUGGCGCUGCUCGCCUCCUCGCCAAUGCGAACGCGUUCUCUGAGGACAACCCGCCCAAGGCUACCAUGGCGAAGCCACGCCACCGCGCCGGCUAUAGACUCACGGCCUGAAGCGAGUUUGGGCGCGACGGCUGGCGAGCCAAGGCGGCGGAAAGUCGUCUGGCGGAGCUCCCGUCUGAGGCGAGCUUGAUCUGGUCAGACAGCUCCGCCACCGAUGGUGUGCUAGAUGGAGGAGGAGGGGCCACCCCCCCCCGAACUGCGACAUCCGAGAGGUGCGUGUCGCGGCAGGCGCCCUCUGCUCUAGCACGCGCGGCGAGCUAUUCGCCCUAAGAGCGGUGUUGGAGGAGCUGGCCGGACGGAUGGUACCGGUCGAUAUGGGUCGACCGCCGUCUAUCCCAACGGUAGCGCCGAUCGACGUGGGCGCUACCUCCAAGGCAGGCGCGCGCGCGCGCGACAGGCGCGCCACGGCAGGCGCGCGCGCGACGCUGCGCGCGCCUGGCAGCGGAGCUGGCCGGACGGAUGGUACCGGUCGAUAUGGGUCGACCGCUGUCCUGGCUCCGUCCUGGAGGCCGACCGUGCAGUCGUUAUCGACAUCUGCCAGUACCUGCUCUGCAUCGGCCGCCUCCCGAGGCCGGAUUCCCACAAUGCAACGACGUGGAGUGCCCUGCUGCCCGAUGCCGCGUCUGCCGCGGAGAGGCUGGCACUCCACGGUAUGUGCUGCUGCGAUGCGCGGCGCUGGCGGCGUUGCGACAAAGAGCCUCGGCAGCUGAACUGCUUCAAGCGACGUAACGAUAUCUGCCCUCCCCUCCCCUAUCGAGCCGCGUGGGUGUGGACGGACGGGUCGGCAGACGCGAGAACCUGCAGCGAAGUAGCUGGGGUCUACGGGGUUGGGCGGAGUCCUACCGAUGAAUGCCGCGAGUGCUGCAACAUUGGCUCGGUACAUCUCGGUACAUUUUCCCGAGUCUGGUGUGGCUACGGGGAGACGGAUUUGGUGACCCUGGCUGCCGCCGUGAGAACCAUCCAGAACCGUACGGCUAUGCUGCGGCAGCGGCUGAAAGGAACGCAACAACAAUAAC